rnacentral:sRNA from 1 species
AGACGUGAGGGCCAUCUGGCUGCCACGUCUGCCACCCCAUUGAUCACCAGGGUUGAUACAGCUGAUCUGCCUCACUAGGCUGUGGGGUUCCCUUCCUCCCUCUCUGCUCUAUGUCGGCCCCUCCCAUGGGUUCAGUCAAAUAGAACAUCUAGCCCUGAACAGGAGCACUGGUCAUUCAAGAGGACGUGAACAUUCUUCCAUCUCUCGAUCUGCCUCUUCCUUUCUCUCAAAUAAAUUAAUAAUAAAAAUUCAAAAUAAAAAAAAAGGGCUGGAGAGAUGGCUU